AUUGAACGCUGGCGGCAGGCCUAACACAUGCAAGUCGAGCGAGCGGCGUACGGUUGAGUAAUGUCUGGGAAACUGCGUGAUGGGGGGGGAUAACUACUGGAAACGGUAGCUAAUACCGCAUACCAUCAGAUGUGCCCAGAUGGGAUUAGCUAGUAGGUGGGGUAACGGCUCACGUAGGCGACGAUCCCUAGCUGGUCUGUGAGGAUGACCGGUCACACUGGAACUGAGUCACGGACCAGAGGCCUACGUGAUGCAGCAGUGGGGAAGAUUGCCCAAUGGUUGCAAGCUGGAUGCAGCGAUGCCGCGGGUGUGAAGAAGGCUUUCGGGUUGUAAAGCACUGUCAGUGGGGACGCGUUACCCGCCGAAGAAGCACCGGCUAACUCCGUGUCAGCAGCCGCGGGAAUUC
rnacentral:rRNA from 1 species